UACGCAAAGGCUAUCCGCUGUGAGUAUGCCCGUGGUGUAGUAUAACUAGCAGAAACUUGCAUUGUGGGAUUCGGGAAUCCUCCAGGAUUAGGAAGGCGGCCCUACCCCUAUCAUUAGCGUGGUGGGCGAGCCGCUAGAAGCAUACAUUUCAUACAGCCACCGCGACGCGACUUUGGUCUGGUCGUUUUGCCAUCGCCUCUACGUUAGCCCCAAGCACAGUGGAAGAGACCGGGCGUUUCCCUUGUGGUGUUGCACUUGCAGUGUGGUGAGUGAGAUUUUACAUAUCAUAAGCUUUUUCACGUUAGAGUGGUGCUGUGUAUUUGCCGUGGGUUGCUGUGUGUCUUGUCAGAGAAACCCCGCACCAUCCAUUCUCUCCCCUGGAAGGAGGACGGAGGGGCCAACGACCGUAGACCUCAUUGCUAUUAUACACUGUGUGCUGUUUUAAGAGUACGAAGAGACGCAGGCCAAGAGCUGUGGAGGACUGUGAGUAUUAUAUUAGAAGCAUUUGUGGUGUGAGCUUAUCUGCGUUUGCAUUGUCGCAGAGUCGGAGGCGAACGGGUCCGCUACCCCCGUGGUCUCUACGAAAGGGCGCCCCUAUCUGGGAUUCGAUCAGCCUACGGACAGUGGGGAUAGGGCAGCGCUCGACCCGGCGAGGUGGUGUGUGACCUUCGCCCCCCUGCUGACCUACAGAAGAACCGACUGUGAGUAACAUCUUAAAAGCAUUUGUGGUGUAAGCUUACCUGUGUUUGUAUUGUCGCAGAGUCGGAGGCGAACGGGUCCGCUGCCCCCGUGGUCUCUACGAAAGGGCGCCCCUAUCCGGGAUUCGAUCGGCCUACGGACAGUGGGGAUAGGGCAGCGCUCGACCCGGCGAGGUGGUGUGUGACCUUCGCCCCCCCUGCUGACCAACAGUAAAGAGCCGACUGUGAACGCGAUACUUACUCAGAGAGCUGUAAGCAGCGGAGCUGGUGAGAACCAUUCAAAGACCAAUAACAGUGUUUCUGUGUCCGAGCGAUCACCUGUGGAGAGAGAGAGGAAAACGAGAGAGAGAGUCAGCAAAGAGCCGACUGUGAACGUGAUACUUACCCAGAGAGCUGUAAGCAGCGGAGCUGGUGAGAACCAUUCAAAGAUCAAUAACAGUGUUUCUGUGUCCUAGCGAUCACCUGUGGAGAGAGAGAGGAAAACGAGAGAGAGAGAGUCAGUAAAGAGCCGACUGUGAACGUGAUACUUACCCAGAGAGCUGUAAGCAGCGGAGCUGGUGAGAACCAUUCAAAGAUCAAUAACAGUGUUUCUGUGUCCUAGCGAUCACCUGUGGAGAGAGAGAGGAAAACGAGAGAGAGAGAGUCAGUAAAGAGCCGACUGUGAACGUGAUACUUACCCAGAGAGCUGUAAGCAGCGGAGCUGGUGAGAACCAUUCAAAGACCAAUAACAGUGUUUCUGUGUCCUAGCGAUCACCUGUGGAGAGAGAGAGGAAAACGAGGGAGAGUCAGUAAAGAGCCGACUGUGAACGUGAUACUUCCCCAGGGAGCUGUAAGCAGCGGAGCUGGUGAGAAACAUUCAAAGACCAAUAACAGUGUUUCUGUGUCCUAGCGAUCACCUGUGGAGAGAGAGAGGAAAACGAGAGUGAAUCAGUGAAGAGCCGACUGUGAACGUGAUACUUACCCAGAAGCUGUAAGCAGCGGAGCUGUGGCCGCCUGUGGAGAGAGAAGAAGGCGAGAGUGAGCCAUUGGGCACGGACAGUGGGAAAGAUCCCUACCAGCCACACCAGAAAUUGUCUGCCUCCAGGAGAGAAGAAGGAGGGCGCCACGGCCAGCAGGGUCCAGGCGGGAGCCUGACGUUUCCCCCUUGUCCCGUUGAUGGUGGUUGGCACCCCUGUUGUUUCCAUCCCUGUCACCCGUGGCUGUAGUCCCCUGGAGGGAGUAGAAGAAGCCAUUAGUUUUAAAUUUCCCUUCCCCAAUUUCCCCAGUCCUUUUAAGUAUUUAAAAAUUCAAUAAAGCUUGUUUUAAAUUUUA